UACAGAGGGUGCGAGCGUUAAUCGGAUUUACUGGGCGUAAAGCGUGCGUAGGCGGCUAAUUGAGUCGGAUGUGAAAUCCCCGAGCUUAUCUUGGGAAUUGCAUUCGAUACUGGUUAGCUAGAGUGUGGGAGAGGAUGGUAGAAUUCCAGGUGUAGCGGUGAAAUGCGUAGAGAUCUGGAGGAAUACCGAUGGCGAAGGCAGCCAUCUGGCCUAACACUGACGCUGAGGUACGAAAGCAUGGGGAGCAAACAGGAUUAGAAACCCGUGUAGUCC
rnacentral:rRNA from 1 species